rnacentral:lncRNA from 1 species
UACCUUGGAUAGCUCUUCUUCCAGGUGCCUUAAAGAAAGGAGGCCAAGUGACUUUGGAGACCAAAAAUCCAAUGCAAACAUAUAUACAUACAAACACAGAAGCAAAGGUUGGCAUACAUGUCAAGAGAACAUUCUCCAGCUGGGGCCUGCAGUAUAGAGAAUUGUAUACUCCAGAGGGCUCAUGGGACCUUGGGCAGAUUAUUAUGGUAAUAUUGGAGACUGCUGUCCUUUCCCUCCCACAGCUGGGCCGCCUCUCUCAUUAA